rnacentral:pre_miRNA from 1 species
AUCCCUCUGGGGCUUGUGAGAAGGUCAGAUUCGUAUUUAAUAGGUCUGGGUGGAGGCCCAAGUUUCUGCAUUUCUAACAAGUUCCCAGGUUA